AGGCGCAGAACGCCAGUGAGUCGCAUGUUUCGUUGACGAUCCCAGCAAAGGCGUUGGUUCCUGGGAUUCUGGUCAGGCGGUACUUGGAACAAUGGCUGCCGUGGACCAAGUUAGUGAGGUCCCCCUGAGAGAGCAUGGGCAAAAGGUCUAGCAGAACCUUAUAGAAGUACCGGAGGGUGAAAUCUAUACCCAUCACUGCAACUGCAUAACCAGGAGCCAUCUGAGAGCUGCAGACAGAGAGACGGGAAACAUGAAGACAGUGUUGGUUUGCAGAAAAAAAAAUGAAAUUUCUACAAACAAAAUGAUGAAAAGACAGCAGACAAAUUGGCGGUUCUUCUGAAAUCAGCGUUUCCUGGAAGCUGCUAGUGACUGAACCGUAGAACAGGAUAAAUCAUUAUUAUUACCAAAUGCACUGAAAGUUUGUGUAUACGGAGUGGUGGCAGGAACUGUAAACACUCACACAGUACAGCUGGAAACAGCACAGUGGCCGUCGGGGUUUGUUGCAUUUUGAGUUCAGUGAACAAGAAACAAAUAUUUGAAUCCAAGAUGAGGACUCUUUGUAGAAAACCUUUUGUAAACACUUCUGACCAAAGAACCCCAAAUUUUUAAUUUAACUUCUCCUCACCAAUACUGCUGUUGUUUCAUAGGGACUUAAACCUGAGAAAGCUUUAAAAAAUAAAAAAAUAUAUAACAGUGUGGA